rnacentral:rRNA from 1 species
UACGUAGGGAGCAAGCGUUGUUCGGAUUUACUGGGCGUAAAGCGCGUGUAGGCGGUUCGGUAAGUCCGCUGUGAAAGUCGGGGGCUCAACCCUCGAAAGCCGGUGGAUACUGUCGGACUAGAGUGCGGAAGAGGCGAGUGGAAUUCCUGGUGUAGCGGUGAAAUGCGCAGAUAUCAGGAGGAACACCGGUGGCGAAGGCGGGUCUCUGGGCCGUAACUGACGCUGAGGAGCGAAAGCAUGGGGAGCGAACAGG